rnacentral:rRNA from 1 species
UACGGCCGCACCACCCUGAACACGUCCAAUCUCGUCUGAUCUGGGAAGCUAAGCAGGGCUGGGCCUGGGUAGUACCUGGAUGGGAAAACCUCAUUCUCUGUUGGAGUCCGGGGAGGUGGCCUUGC